GACGAACGCUGGCGGCGUGCUUAACACAUGCAAGUCGAACGGAAAGGCCUCUUUCGGGGGGUACUCGAGUGGCGAACGGGUGAGUAACACGUGAGUAACCUGCCCUUGACUUUGGGAUAACUUCAGGAAACUGGGGCUAAUACCGGAUAGGAGCUCCUGCUGCAUGGUGGGGGUUGGAAAGUUUCGGCGGUUGGGGAUGGACUCGCGGCUUAUCAGCUUGUUGGUGGGGUAGUGGCUUACCAAGGCUUUGACGGGUAGCCGGCCUGAGAGGGUGACCGGCCACAUUGGGACUGAGAUACGGCCCAGACUCCUACGGGAGGCAGCAGUGGGGAAUAUUGCACAAUGGGUGGAAGCCUGAUGCAGCAACGCCGUGUGCGGGAUGACGGCCUUCGGGUUGGAAACCACUUUCGCUCAUGACGAAGCUUUGUGUGACGGUAGUGGGUAAAGAAGCACCGGCUAACUACGUG
rnacentral:rRNA from 1 species